rnacentral:misc_RNA from 1 species
CAUCCUUUUGAUUCAGCAACAGUCCAAUAGCUCUGUGCUUCACUACGUGGACCAGCAUCUUUUCUUGUCUCACCGCCACUAAACAAAAGCAAAGCCCUAUCAUCCUUUGCUGUAAUUUCAACUCCCUCUUGUAUAUGAGUCACAAAAGUAGCAGCCUGACCUGGAUUUCUCUGAUAAGACUCUAAAAACCAAGAAUCCUCCUUAUCAACUCUCUCACAACUACUACUGGUAUAAACCGAAUGCCCAGCAACCAUUACAAGAUUUUUAAGCUUAGCAAAAGGAUAAACAUUCGAACUCAUAUCCAAUUUCCUGUAACUAUUCAUCGUUCGAU